UACAGAGGUCUCAAGCGUUGUUCGGAUUCAUUGGGCGUAAAGGGUGCGUAGGUGGCGCUGUAAGUCAGGUGUGAAAUUUCGGAGCUUAACUCCGAAACUGCAUUUGAUACUGCGGUGCUUGAGGACUGGAGAGGAGACUGGAAUUUACGGUGUAGCAGUGAAAUGCGUAGAGAUCGUAAGGAAGACCAGUGGCGAAGGCGGGUCUCUGGACAGUUCCUGACGCUCAGGCACGAAAGCAUGGGGAGCAAAAGGG
rnacentral:rRNA from 1 species